rnacentral:SRP_RNA from 1 species
GCUGGGUGUUGUGGCGUACAUCUGUAGUCCCAGCUACUGGGAAGGCUGAGGUGGGAGGAUCAUUUGAGCCUGGGAGGUCAAGGCUGCAGUGAGCUAUGAUCAUGCCACUGCACUCCAGCCUGGGCAACACAGUGAGACCUUAUUUCAA